GGCCCGAGUUGCUACUGCUCCCUUUGUCCUCAGGCUGGGGUCCAGAGCAGGAGCAGUGCUGCUGAGGUUGCUCAUCAAUGACUGAGAAAUUUGGAAGACUCAGACACCAGCAAAUAGGCAAAUGUCAGAGCAAAGCAUGGAGGCAUUGGCAGAGCAAAAAAGACUGCUGCCAGGAAAUUUUUUGCAUUCUUGAGCACACCACUUCCCAGCGGACCUUCCUUUGAGUGAAGUCUGAGUUGAGCCAGCUACAGAGCCUCCAGCACCAGGCAGCCUGGCACCAAGAAUCCAAAGCUAAAAAUGGACCAUUCUAACUGUUUCCUCCCAGUGGUACCUGAACGGGGCAGGGGCGGGGGUGUCUCAGACACUCCUUUCCCUACCCUCAGGUUCUGUCACAGAAGCCCUCCUGCUAUCAACGCCAAGGAUUUUAAGGGACAUAUGAUUUGCAGGACACCAACCAUGUGGUGUCCUCAGCACCACUUCCCUCCAAAGCACGGAGCACUAGAGAGAGAGAAGGCAAGAAAGAAACUGUCUCCCAAGUCUCCACUCCCGAGACUCCACUCUGGACAACUACCAAGCACUUACUGGCUGUUGAGGCAUCUGGGACACAAUGACAGUCCUCCAGGUAAUGCCUCUGGCUACACGUGUUAACAAGCAUCAUGAUGUGUCUGGAGUUGUGAAUGGAAUCUUUGCCUCCCAAUAUGACCACAGAAAGAAAAGAGCCAGCAAGUGAACAGUUUUUCCACACACUGCCGCCAGCGUGUGCUGCCUCCCCUUUCGGGCCUGAAAACAGUGGGGUUGAAAAAGCAACAAGAAAUGGACUAAAACUUCCUAAAUUGUGAGCCAAAAAAAACCCUUUCUCUUUAUAAGCUGAUUAUCUCAGGUGUCUGUUACUAUAAUAAAAAUCUGAUUAACACACCCCUACACUCUUGGAUUUUAUCAUCUGCAACUGGAUUUUCUCUUAGAAAGGAUUUUGUAUUUUGGAUGUGUUUGCCUUUUUAUGUUCAAG
rnacentral:lncRNA from 1 species